AUUGUUUAAUGUUACACUUCACACAAGUCACGACUGUUUGCAGUUAAUGUCGUUGCCGUGUGUAACGUUAGUUUAUAUAAUGUGCAGCGCUUCAAACAGUGUGCUGCCUUAAAGGCAUUUUAUAAUGUUAUAAUUUGUUUGCGGUUCAAAAAGUCACCACUAGGAGUGCUAAUGGUAUUGUUAUCUUUAAGUUCGCCGUUCUUAGCCUCACUUCCGGUUUAGCGUUAGAGAAACGGCAUGACAGACAGACGACAGACACAUGGCAGCAACUUUCCCUCUGCUUCAUUAAUUUCUCCUGUUCAACAGGCUUAUUAUCUGAUUACCAGCUCUGCACAGCGGACUUGUAACACUAGCAGCAGUGGAGAUGGAGCAUCAGAACCUGGAGAAUACAGCAGCAACGACAAGGAUCCAUUUGGAGAUAGCUGCAAGAACCUCCAUCUGUGCCUGCACCCAGGUCAAGAUCUAC